UACGAAGGGGGCUAGCGUUGCUCGGAAUCAUUGGGCGUAAAGCGCGUGUAGGCGGUCCGGUAAGUCCGCUGUGAAAGUCGGGGGCUCAACCCUCGAAUGCCGGUGGAUACUGUCGGGCUAGAGUGCGGAAGAGGCGAGUGGAAUUCCUGGUGUAGCGGUGAAAUGCGCAGAUAUCAGGAGGAACACCAAUUGCGAAGGCAGCUCGCUGGGACGUUACUGACGCUGAGACGCGAAAGCGUGGGGAGCAAACAGG
rnacentral:rRNA from 1 species